GGAAAUCAGGUGAACAGGAAACGGGGCGUGCAGGGAAGAACCGGAGCAAGCGCACAGAGACCUGCGUUUAUGGACUGCGCACAGGCGGGUAUUGGGCCGCAUGCGCGCCAAAGUCGCUUUAUAUAGGGACGACAAAACACAGUAAGGCCGCAAUGAGCCCAUGCCUGGCCCCGAGUACAGUCUGCUGUAAGAAAACUCAGAAACGUCCAACAGGCUUUUACAUCCUGUUUGCACGAGGAAAUCAACUGCCUGGUACCGGAGGAGAGGACGAUGCUGGACACCCCAGUUUAAAACCAGGAUGGACACAGCUAAAUCAUUUAAGACCGUCAGGAACAUCUCAGUGGGACUCCCUUCUGCGGCCGAGCUGUCAAAACAUCUGGUGAGAGACUUCAAUUCACAGUAGCAUGAACACUGGAGCGGUGUAUGACUUCUCAUGCAACCAGUGUUGGGAACCAGAUCAAUGUGACGAUGACAACCCUGGACAAGAGACCGAAUGAGCACAGAUGGAGAAGGAUCAAGGAAUCCACUAGAAGACGACCAUCAGAUGCAGUUGAAAGCUAUGGCAUUAAAAUAGGACGCAGCAGAAGAUUUUAAUGAAGCAGCCAGAUUGAAGAUUCUUCCCGGAUCUUUUUCUCCUUGAUGAUAAAGAGAAUGACAUAACGGGCCAGAAGAGGUUCCACAUAGAAACAGGUUUUCCAUGGACUGACUGUCUGAGGCCACCAUU